CUGACGCCUCCAUUGAGCCCGCCAAGCUGGAGAUGACUGGGAGAUCAUCUUACUGUAAUAGGUUUUCCUGUUUGGAAAGGGUGCUGGAAUUUGGAGAAGCCACAAAUAAAGCAUCUUCGGUCAGGGCUGUCCCAGGCCUGUCCAGAAACUGACCAUGGAGACUCCCCCAGCAGCUCCAUUCCUUGGAGAACAGAGGGUGUCAUGGAAAUGAGUGCCACGUCUGUCUCACCUGCGGACGCACAGGUCCUGCGCCUGCCUGGCAGAGGGAGACGUGCUCUGAGGACAGUGUGUUCCUGCACUCAGGAUGCCUCAUCCCUGAACAUCCACUGACAGCGAAGAAUCAGACCCCAGCCCCAGGGGACAGCCUCGGCUGGCCACAGUAGUGCUGUCUGGCUCCAGGGAUCUGGACAGUGGCCUUCCUUCCUUCAGAGAACACCCCAAAAGCUCCUGCCUGGGGUCCAGACACCAGCUACUGGAGUCUCUCACCCUGGAGGCCCUCACCUGGAGACCCUCACCUGGAGGCCCUCACUUGGAGACCUUCACCUGGAGACCCUCAACUGGAGACUGUCACCUGGAGACCCUCACCUGGAAGCCCUCACCUGGAGGCUCUCACCUAGAGACCCUCACCUGGAGAUUCUCACCUGGAUACCCUGACCUGGAAGCCCUCAUCCAGAGGCUCUCACCUGGAGGCCUUCACUUUGAGACCUUCACCUGGAGUCUCUCACCUAAAGACCCUCUCCGGGAAGCCCUUCCUUGGAACCCCUCCCUGAUGACUGCUGAGUCCAGAGCCAGAGUCAGGUUUAUUCACAGGUAUUUGCCUUCAGGGAUGCUCUUUGAGGUAGCAAGGA